AACGAACGCUGGCGGCAUGCCUAACACAUGCAAGUCGAACGAGACCUUCGGGUCUAGUGGCGCACGGGUGCGUAACGCGUAGGAACCUGCCCUUAGGUUCGGAAUAACUCCCCGAAAGGGGUGCUAAUACCAGAUAAUGUCUUCGGACCAAAGAUUUAUCGCCUUUGGAUGGGCCCGCGUUGGAUUAGCUAGUUGGUAGGGUAAAAGCCUACCAAGGCGACGAUCCAUAGCUGGUCUGAGAGGAUGAUCAGCCACACUGGGACUGAGACACGGCCCAGACUCCUACGGGAGGCAGCAGUGGGGAAUAUUGGACAAUGGGCGAAAGCCUGAUCCAGCAAUGCCGCGUGAGUGAUGAAGGCCUUAGGGUUGUAAAGCUCUUUUACCCGGGAUGAUAAUGACAGUACCGGGAGAAUAAGCGCCGGCUAACUCCGUG
rnacentral:rRNA from 1 species